rnacentral:pre_miRNA from 1 species
AAUAUACUCACUCCGUUCCAAAUUACUUGUCGCAGAAAUGGAUGUAUCUAGAACUAAAAUACAUCUAGAUACAUCCAUACCUGCGACAAAUAAUUUGAAACGGAGGGAGUAUUUC